rnacentral:rRNA from 1 species
CAACGUGGGUAACCUGCCCAAGAGAUCGGGAUAACACCUGGAAACAGAUGCUAAUACCGGAUAACAACAGAUGAUGCCUAUCAACUGUUUAAAAGAUGGUUCUGCUAUCACUCUUGGAUGGACCUGCGGUGCAUUAGCUAGUUGGUAGGGUAACGGCCUACCAAGGCGACGAUGCAUAGCCGAGUUGAGAGACUGAUCGGCCACAUUGGGACUGAGACACGGCCCAAACUCCUACGGGAGGCAGCAGGU